GGUAAUAUCCGUGUCUUGUAAAUGGUGAACUUGAGCACACGUCUGAGCGUAGAUCACAUGAAUGUGGUGGUUGUGUAACUCGUGAAAGACGUCCAUUCUUGUGCGUCUGUCUCCAGCUGUCCUGAGCGCUGCUAGAGCUGUGACUGACUGCUGGAAACUCAACUUCAUCAGCUUCAUCAGGGUCUUUGGCGUCUGUCAGCAGGAACUCCAGGAAACAUUAACGGAGCUUUCAAGAAGAAUUUAUUACGCAACUCAACAGUCACUCCCACAGCAGAGGAUGUCGUGUGGAGCGUGUUUCUGGGGCAUCGUCUGGCUGCUGGUGCUGCUGAUUAUCGGCUGGCCCUUGAGCAUUAUGCUGGGGGGUCUGUACGGCCUCAUCGCCCCUCUCACCGUCUGCCUCGGUCUGGACAGACUGGCCGACCUGCUGAUGGAAGGGGCAAAUCUGGGCCGGAAGUGUGCCCACAACAUGAGGCACGGCAAAGCGCUGUGCUGAGACCACGAGCCCUUCAGCUCACUGCCAAGAAGUCCUCAAAAUUUUCAUCUCUUUUCACUUUUUUGACAGUUUAUAGUGCCUUUGAUUCUCUGUGACUAGAACAUGAUGCUUCCCUAAAGCCUUAGUGACACUUUCUUGCUUCCUCUCUGUAUCUGUUGCUCUUAGGCUGUUUGAAUAUGAAAAAUUAAAAUAUUCUUUCAGUA